rnacentral:lncRNA from 1 species
UGAAUGUUUUUUUCUCUUCUUAAUUUGCUUCUGUCAGUCUAUCAUAAUUGUCCAGGCAGUUCUGAAGUUUGGUCAAUGCAAGGUUGGGGAAAUGCUUGGGAUGCAGGAAAAAUUUCCCCUGGCUUGAACUUGGUUAUCCCUUCAUGUAGUGCUGCCACCUCAUUAAUGACUUCUAACCUCCUUUUCUAAUUUAGGAAGUUUGAAUUCUCCCACAUCUUGGCUUCUUUGCUGGUAUCCUGGUUCCCCGAUGCUUUGACCAACUGCCAUCCGCAAGUGGGCUUCUAACACUAUCACCUCUGUGCUUCAAGGAUAUCAGAAUAACAUAACUUUCAGCUCAUUUUUAACCAUCUGCCGCUCUGGGAGCUGCUUCCCUUUCUGCAUACCACCUCUUACAGAAUAGUGGACAAAGUCACUUGCCCUCGGUCAAUUGUGUUCGUGUUGAGGAUGGAGGUAGAGUUCAAUGGGACCAGAAUCAAAGAUGAGAUCCCAGGUUUCCUCACCAUCCUGGUGGAAAUGUUGCAUUCCUUAAAGGAUGAAUUAGUACUAAGGGAACUUACAGCUGCAAUCCAGCACCUGACCAACCUGGCUCCAAAAACUGUGGUGCCCUGCCUCCUGAAAAAUCCACUUCCAUUUGACAGGCCUGAAGAAGGAGACAAAGCUAGGGCUCAAGUCUCAGGACCCCGUCCCUCCAUUUCCCAAGAUGAGUCUAAGAGUUAACCAAACUUUAUUUUUUGGGCUGCUGAUUACAAGUAGCCUCAUCUCUUUGUGACCUCUGCUGAAAGUGAACCCAAUUGUUUUCUCUCAUUUCUCUUCAGGAAACACAGGCCUUAUGGGAGGGAGGUCACUGCUGUGCUAGAGGUUAAGGAAACUCUAGAGGGAUUAGAGGAUAAACUUUUCACCACCUAUUUCCUUUCCCUUCCACACUUGAGCAGAAUGCAAGCUUCUGCAUCCAAGGCCCAGAGCACCAAUGAACUAGCUUUG